rnacentral:tRNA from 1 species
GGCUAGAUAGCUCAGUUGGUAGAGCACCGGAACAGCAAUCCAGAGGUCGCAGGUUCAAACCCCGCUCCAGUCA